rnacentral:rRNA from 1 species
UGGGGAAUAUUGCGCAAUGGCCGCAAGGCUGACGCAGCGACGCCGCGUGUGGGAUGAAGGCUUUCGGGUUGUAAACCACUGUCAGGGGGGACGAAACAAAUGACGGUACCCCCAAAGGAAGCGCCGGCUAACUCCGUGCCAGCAGCCGCGGUAACACGGAGGGCGCGAGCGUUGUUCGGAAUCACUGGGCGUAAAGCGCGCGUAGGCGGUUGGAUAAGUCGCUUGUGAAAGCCCGGGGCUCAACUCCGGGACGCCAGGCGAUACUGUCUAGCUAGAGCACGGUAGAGGCAAGUGGAAUUCCCGGUGUAGCGGUGGAAUGCGUAGAUAUCGGGAAGAACACCAGUGGCGAAGGCGGCUUGCUGGGCCGUUGCUGACGCUGAGGUGCGAAAGCGUGGGGAGCAAACAGGAUUAGAUACCCCCGUAGUCC